CUCACUUGGGGCCUCCUCCGUCACAUCUCUAGAGCUGCCCACGUGAAGGAGGGGCCGCAGAGAUAAUGAGGCCCUGGGGGUAGGUGGUGGCCAGGCUGCUGGAGUCAUGGGCCUGGAACCCAGCACUUAUGACUCACCUCCGCAUGCCUCAAGCUCUGACCUUGGAGUCCAGUUCCAGGAAGAGCACGCCUAUGCCAGACACCCAGUGUGUAGGGUCACUGUCUGUGAUUCCCCGAGAUCAGCAAGGAUGAUAAUAGUUCCCAUUUUGUGAGGACUAAUCAUGUGCUAGGCCCUGUUCUAAGUGCUUUACCACAGAAGGGGUCUUGCUCAAGACCACACACGUGAGAAGAUGGCAGAGCCGUGAUUCCGAUGCUGCUGCACCAUAUUGCUUCCCAAAGGCCUUUAUGGAAAACAGCCCUCAACCCUCCUGGAUUUUCAGACAGUCCUGAUUUCUGGCUUUCUCUCCAAUUGUCCCCCAAAUACCUAGAAUCGCUGCACCCUCAUGGGCUGCGCUCAGAACCAGGAGGAGAACCGGCCCUGAGGAGGGACUCCCUUCCUCAAACACAGAGCUCCCUGACAUGUGAGGACCCUAUGACAAGUCAGCAGUCUGCAAGCCCGAAGAGGGCCCUCACCGGAACUCAACUGCUCUGGCCCCUGAUCUCAGACUUCAGCCUCCGGAACUGUGAGGAAUACAUUUCUGUUGUUUCUUGUGGUCACAGACUGGAUCAUCGCUUACCCUGCUGAUCCCGCCCUGCCCUCUGUCCUGGACUCCGGGCCGCACUCCACAGAGAUGCGUGAAAUCACAGACCUGCCUUAUGCCAUUUUAUGAGUGACCAAUUUGUACUCCAAAGGUCAUUUCAUCUCCAGAUACUAGAACCAUUAUGUUUCGGCCCCUCCAUAAUCAUCUCAGCACAUCUGAAUUACGGUAGCUUCAAGUAUCUUUGUUUUUUGUUUUGUUUUAUUUGUGAUGGAUCAAAAAGACUGCUGAAACAAAGAAAAGAUCAACUGAGCAGAAACAAGCUUAUAUAGGAACAUCCUUUAUAGUUCUACUGUCAGAGAGGAGAGCUGCGUGACUUGGUCCGAUUCAGUGACAUGGUUGAUCUGGGGCACAUUUAAGUACAAGUGACAAGGCUGGGUUAGCAAAGGCUUUGCUAGGCCGGAUCUCUGUACAUGGCCCUCAACAGAUUGGAUGCUGCCCACCACAUUGGGAAGGACAAUCUACUGAGUCCACUAAUUUGAAUGUGAAUUUCAUCCAGAAAUACUCUCACAGACACACCCGGAAACAAUGUCUAAUCUAGGCAGCCUGUGGCCAGUCGAGCUGACACAUAGACUUAACCAUCACACUGUGUGAUUCCAUUUAAUACAUGAAAAACAGAAAUACCCAAAAUUAAUCUGUGCUUUCGGAAGUCAAGAGGGUGGUUACCCUUGGGAAGGUGGUGAUGGGUGAGAACACAAGGGGACUUCCAGGGUGCUGGGUGAUGUUCUGUUUCUUGAUCUGGAUCCAGUUUACACAGAAAUGUUCAGUUCAUGAAAACCCAUUAUGCUAUAUGCUCUCUGUAUGUCCUACUUCUAUCAAAAGUUUUGAAAAGAAGGAUGCACACAAAGACAGUCUUUUCAACAAAUGGUGCUGGAACAACUGAACAUCCACAUGCAAAAAAAUGAAUCCAGACACAGACCUUACAUCCUUCACAAAAAUUAACUCGAAAUGGAUGAUAGACCUAAAUGCAAAAUGCAAAACUAUGAAACUCCUAGAAGAUAACACAGGAGAAAAUCUAGAUGACAUUGGGUAUGGUGAUGGCUUUUUAGAUGCAGGAAAGAAAUAACUGAUAAACUAGAUUUCUUUAAAAUUAACAACUUCUGCUCUGCAAAGGACAAUGUCAAGAGAAUGAGAAGACAAGCCACAGACUGGGAGAAGAUAUUUGUAAAAGACACAUCGGAUAAAAGACUAUUAUCCAAAAUAUACAAAGAACUCUUGAAACUCAACAAUAGGAAAAGGAACAACCUGAUUUUAAAAUGGGCAUAAGUCCUGAACAAAUACCCCAACAAAGAAGAUGGACAGAUGGCAAGUAAGCGCGUGAAAAGAUGCUCCACAUCAUGUAUCAUCAGGGAAAUGCACCUUAAAACAACAGUGAGACACCACUACAUACCUGUUAGAAUGGCCAAAGUCCAGAACACUGACAACACCAACUGCUGACAAGGAUGGGGAGCAACAAGGACUCUCAUUCUUUGCUAGUGGGAAUGCAAAAUGGUACUACUGUUUUGAAAGACAAUUUGGAAGUUUCUUAUAAAACUAAACAUAUUCUUAUCAUACAAUCCAGUGGUCUCAAUCCUUGGGAUUUACCCAAAUGAACUGAAAACUUAUGUCUACACAAAAACCUGCACACGGAUGUUUACAGCAGCUUUAUUCAUAACUGCCAAAACUUGGAAGCAACCAAGAAGUCCUCAGUAGGUGAAUGGAUCAAUAAACUGCGGUACAUCCAGACAAUGGCAUAUUAUUCAACGCUAAAAAGCAAUGAGCCAUAAAGUCAGGAAAAGACAUGGAAGAACUUAAAGGUAUGUUACUAAG